rnacentral:lncRNA from 1 species
UAGCUGAUGGGGUAGGAAUAACUACAUAUCAAUCUGAUUUGUUCUAGAUCGGGAGGCUGAGGGUCGGUUACUGAAUGACUCUAGUCAAAUGGGGUUGAAUUAUUCAGGGGCAUCAUUGGAGUCACUCCUACUGUUGUUGAGUAUUGGCUCGAGGCUACUGAGCAUAUUAUGAUCGACCUUGAUUGUACAGCCACUUAGAAAUUGAA